CUUCCCUGUAAGCUGCCUGCCUCUCUGGAGCCUGCCUUUGGCCCUGCCAAGCGGAGCCAACGGGAAGCAGCCAGGGUCUCACUGAACUGAGCAUCCACUGGGGAUCGGACAACAAAAAAGUCUUCAAGGAACAGGAUGGAACAGAAUGCAUCGUUGGAGGACCAGAAGCUGGGCACAGACAUCAGGAGGAAGAGGCCUGGAAUGGGGGAUGGACAAGUAGUCUGGAAUUUGUCUUAUUCCUGAUGAACCUUGGGAGUUGGCUUCCUAAGGUCUCCAUGCCCUUCACCUCUGCCUUAGGGGCUCCUCACUGUCCUCUGACUGGCUGGCUCAGUAGCUGAGGGCUGAGGAGGGACGGAGUACCCAGGAUCUGACAGCAGCCUACAGCUGACGGUGAGCACAGGCUUCUCCUGCAGAGCCAGGCAGGAUCAAGACAGCACCUGGGACAGCUCUCAGUGGCUCCUGGGACGCCCAAGGAAGCCAGAGAGACUUCGUCCAAAGCCACUCUCCAAAUACUUACUGAGUGCCUGCCAAGUUCCAGACACUGCCUUGGGCAUCAGAGAAAAGUGAACUGACAAAAUCCCCUGACCUUGUGGGCUUGCUUGCUAGCAGCAGACAGAAAAUAAACACUAUAAAUCAGCCAA